rnacentral:lncRNA from 1 species
CUUGGAACAUCAUUUGUCAUGGCAGUGAAAAAUUAUAUCUCUGAACCCAUGAAGAGACUCUUCCAGAGGGAGGAGAAAGAAAGCAACAAAAACAUAAUGAAUAAGUAAAUUGCUGUUCUGCCCCAUCGUCUUCAUGGAAAUUAACUGCAGUGGUUCCAUGGAUCCUCUGCUUGGCGCUCCUUGUGUCUGUUGGAAUCUUAGCCACAGAGUCAAAUUUAUCUCAGGUUAAGUAUGACAAACCAAAUGGAUAUUUGUGACCUGGUCUUCAGUAACAGAACAUAUUCAGGAAAUCUCACUUCCACUCAGGAAAUAGAUGAGAAGGGAUUGAUUUCAGGAAAUUCAUGGAUUCAACCACUGCCAACAAAGGCUCAAGGUAAUUUAGGAACAAGAUCACGUGUUUUCUAGGAGAUAGAAAAUAACUAUAUCUGUGUGUUUAUUUGAAAGCACAUAAAAUAAUUAAUGAAUAAAUAAAUAAAAUAUGUUACACACAUAUAAUGCAGUGUUAGAUAUUCAGAAACAUGUUCACUAAAAUUCCACUUAAAUUUGGAAGUUAUUGAUAAUGCUGACGUAUUAACAGUUGUCUGAUUAGAAUUACAGUGUCAUAAGUUACGUCUUAGCAUUAUUGAAAUUAGUUAACAGCACAGCAAUUUAAAGUGGGUUAAUACAUUUUUAUCAUUUAAUUUAUGUACUAGUUAUCACUUAGUUUUCACAAUUUAAACAUCUGUUUUUCCAUUUAUAAAUGUACUGCUAAAAGACACCUAGACUUACUCUAAUUUUUUCUUUUACUUUGGAAAUGUCGUCAUUGUGAAGACAACAGGCACGAGUAUGGGCAAAACUGCUACUCUUUUUCUAGAAAUUUGAUUCCUUGGACAGAUUGUAAACUUCACUGUUCUACUUCACAUUCAAGUUUUCUUAAAUUAAAUGCUGAAAAAGAGAUGGGAAAACAAGUAUAUGUUUCUUAAAUUUUAAUGAGUUUCUCUGGGAGAUACUUCUUGGACUCUAGAGGCUUUCCCUCUUCUGAGGUCACUAUUUCAACACAGGGAACUUUAUAUGAUACACAUUAGAACGUGCCAUUCCCUUUCUUCAAACUCUUUCUCAGGGCCUAGUUCAAAGCCCCUAAGCCAUAACAGUUGUGCAAGUUUUAUUCAUUUCUGAACUUUUGCCUAUCUCUGCAGCUUCCUUAGUUACUAAUAACUUUCCAUUACUUCCACUCCCUCACCCAUUUCUUUCAACAUGCUCCCUUUGUGUAUUCCUUAAAGUGUAAUUCAAUUUUCUCCUCACAAUUUUACUCUCCCCCUCCCAACCCUGUGUAACUUUAUACUAAUAAAUGCCUAUUUAUUUCCUUGGUUUAUAUAGAAUCACUAUACUCUGAAAAAAAACAUUGUUUUGAUCACGUGGUACUAUAAGAGUCCCUGAUAACUACUGUCAUUUCUUCUUGUACUUCCCUUUUCGUAGCAACGACUUACUUAAUUGAUUUGCCCCUUUCUUAGAUUCUUAGGUAACAAGUCCACUUGCUGACUUUCACUACUCAAUAUCUAGCACACUGUCUAGAGUAUUAUAAAGGCUCCAUUAUGGUGGUUUCAUGAAUAAACAAAUUAUUGGUUAUUUGUGAGUGGCUGAAGAACCCCAAGACCAUGUUUUAUUAUAGUGAUACAAUUCCAGACAAAAUAAAAAUGUUUAAUAAAGUUAAAAAAUGUUUUAAUCUCUAUAUACAUAGACAAUCAACCAUGAGUAUUGAUUUAAUUUUUUUAUUGUCAAUCUAUCAAG